GAGUUUGAUCGUGGCUCAGAUUGAACGCUGGCGGCAUGCCUUACACAUGCAAGUCGAACGGCAGCACGGGAGCUUGCUCCUGGUGGCGAGUGGCGAACGGGUGAGUAAUGCAUCGGAACGUAUCCUGGAGUGGGGGGAUAACGUAGCGAAAGUUACGCUAAUACCGCAUAUUCUGUGAGCAGGAAAGCGGGGGACCUUCGGGCCUCGCGCUCUUGGAGCGGCCGAUGUCGGAUUAGCUAGUUGGUGAGGUAAAGGCUCACCAAGGCGACGAUCCGUAGCAGGUCUGAGAGGAUGAUCUGCCACACUGGAACUGAGACACGGUCCAGACUCCUACGGGAGGCAGCAGUGGGAAUUUUGGACAAUGGGGGCAACCCUGAUCCAGCCAUGCCGCGUGAGUGAAGAAGGCC
rnacentral:rRNA from 1 species